CUUGCAUGCUCGCCUUCAAUUGCUUGAAGGUGCUUGCACCUGAUUGAUCUUGGUCGCCAACGAGUGGCGGACGGGUGAGUAACACGUAGGUAACCUGCCCAGAAGCGGGGGACAACAUUUGGAAACAGAUGCUAAUACCGCAUAACAACGUUGUUCGCAUGAACAACGCUUAAAAGAUGGCUUCUCGCUAUCACUUCUGGAUGGACCUGCGGUGCAUUAGCUUGUUGGUGGGGUAAUGGCCUACCAAGGCGAUGAUGCAUAGCCGAGUUGAGAGACUGAUCGGCCACAAUGGGACUGAGACACGGCCCAUACUUCUACGGGAGGCAGCAGUAGGGAAUCUUCCACAAUGGGCGCAAGCCUGAUGGAGCAACACCGCGUGAGUGAAGAAGGGUUUCGGCUCGUAAAGCUCUGUUGUUAAAGAAGAACACGUAUGAGAGUAACUGUUCAUACGUUGACGGUAUUUAACCAGAAAGUCACGGCUAACUACGUGCCAGCAGCCGCGGUAAUACGUAGGUGGCAAGCGUUAUCCGGAUUUAUUGGGCGUAAAGAGAGUGCAGGCGGUUUUCUAAGUCUGAUGUGAAAGCCUUCGGCUUAACCGGAGAAGUGCAUCGGAAACUGGAUAACUUGAGUGCAGAAGAGGGUAGUGGAACUCCUG
rnacentral:rRNA from 2 species